CCCGCUGAACUUAAGCAUAUCAAUAAGCGGAGGAAAAGAAACUAACAAGGAUUCCCCUAGUAACGGCGAGUGAAGAGGGAAGAGCUCAAAUUUUGAAUCUGGCACCUUUGGUGUCUGAGUUGUAAUCUAGAGAAGUGCUUUCUGUGGCGGACCGUGCACAAGUCUCCUGGAAUGGAGCGUCAUAGAGGGUGAGAAUCCCGUAUAUGGCACGGACUCCCGUUGCUCUGUGAAACACUCUCAACGAGUCGAGUUGUUUGGGAAUGCAGCUCUAAAUGGGUGGUAAAUUCCAUCUAAAGCUAAAUAUUGGCGAGAGACCGAUAGCGAACAAGUACCGUGAGGGAAAGAUGAAAAGAACUUUGGAAAGAGAGUUAAACAGUACGUGAAAUUGUUGAAAGGGAAACGCUUGAAGUCAGUCGCGUUGGCCAGGAAUCAACCUUGCUUUUGCUUGGCGUACUUUCUGGUUAAUGGGUCAGCAUCAAUUUUGACCGGUGGAUAAAGGUCAGGGGAAUGUGGCAUCUUCGGAUGUGUUAUAGCCUCUGGUCGCAUACAUCGGUUGGGACUGAGGAACUCAGCACGCCGCAAGGCCGGGUUUUUAACCACGUACGUGCUUAGGAUGCUGGCAUAAUGGCUUUAAUCGACCCGUCUUGAAACACGG
rnacentral:rRNA from 1 species